GAUUAACGCUAGCGGCAGGCAUAAUACAUGCAAGUUGAACGGCAGCACAGGUAGCACUACUGGGUGGCGAGUGGCGCACGGGUGCGUAACACGUAUGCAACCUACCCUAUACAGGCGAAUAACCUUUAGAAAUGAGGGCUAAUACGCCGUAGUAUUACAGAUGGGCAUCUAUUUGUAAUUAAAGAUUUAUCGGUAUAGGAUGGGCAUGCGUCCCAUUAGUUAGUUGGUAAGGUAACGGCUUACCAGGACGAUGAUGGGUAGGGGAUCUGAGAGGACUUACCCCCACACUGGUACUGAGACACGGACCAGACUCCUACGGGAGGCAGCAGUAAGGAAUAUUGGGCAAUGGCCGCGAGGCUGACCCAGCCAUGCCGCGUGCAGGAAGACGGCCUUAUGGGUUGUAAACUGCUUUUAUACGGGAAUAAUAGAGUGUACGCGUACAUUUAUGCAAGUAUCGUAUGAAUAAGCAUCGGCUAACUCCGUG
rnacentral:rRNA from 1 species